rnacentral:lncRNA from 1 species
CAUUGCACGAUCAUUGAUAAAAUGGUAACAAAAAUACACACACACAUAUUGUUCACAGGUUCAAACACAAGUCAAUCUUCACAAAAGCAAAGUUUGGCCAUCUUGGCAACCAUCCAGAAAACACAAAUCACAUAAAAGGACCCCUAUUCGCUGCUCUAAAAUAGUUCAAACACUAAAUGGUCCAAACAAUUGAGUAAUAUCCAUGACCACAAGAUUUCUACUCCAGAACACUUGAGCACCAGUCCAGAACACACAUAAGAUUCAUGAUUACAAUUAAGUUGGCUGGUCCUGAGCCUGCACGCCCUCUCUUUUACUAUCUUGCAUCUUGCAUCUUCCUUUUUUCCUUUCUCCAGAGAAAACAUCAUUCUACACACAACUUCCUUCCUGAUCUUCUUCUCCCUAGCAUCGGAUCGCCAAUCAACCAAGCACCUGCAGCUCCGCGGUGCAUGCUCAUGUCCAAGUCUCCCACUCCAUCCGCCACCACGCCCAUGCCCAGCUGCUGAUAGGCCCUGUAAUCAUUUGCUCCACCCCUGCCACUCUAAUGUUCGAGCUCCUCCUAUACCCACUUCUCAUAUUCUUCCGAGUGAUUUGAACCUGCAGAAGUUAGCAUAUACUUUCAAGAUAAAACUAAUACUCAGCUAUGUUACAUGAAGAUGCCAUUCAAUCUACAUGACUGUUAAAUGCAUAUCUCCUAGCAGUCCACAUUCUACAUGUGUAAUGUGUUAAAAGCACCUCGAGAUUUUCUUAUUGUUUCAGAUAGCACUACGUGCUCAACAUCACACAUUAAAUGGUUGGAGAAUCAUGACAAUUCUUCUUUGGGCUGGUCCUUAAGUUUAGAGAAUAGAAGAUCUACUACCAAAUUAGCCUAAAACAACACAAUUCUAGGUCCAACGCCUUGGCAUAUACAGCCAGAUAUGAUGUUUGUUCCUUAAACUAUGCAUGCAAGUGUGCAAUAUCUCAUGUCUAAGGAAUGAAUGAAAUUUCUGACUUCCUAGAGAGGGUCAUGGACUUCAAAAGAGCUCAUUAAAAUUCCAGAAAAAAAGAGCUAAUCGAAAUUCCAGCAAAAUAAAGAGCUAAUCAAAAUUGGGCGACACAUAUGUAUACAAUCUCCGCAUUUCCAACUUUCUGUCAAUUCGAGCAGAAAACUGGGAGAUUGUUUCCUAGAGCAUGUGCAACAGCCACAACCCCAGGGCCAAGAUAGUACAAAACUGAAAUGAAAAUAGAAGAGUAUUACAGGUAUGGAAAAGCAGGAAGGCCUCAUAGUCAUUCGCGACAUAGUUGGUUCAGAAUGUCUGCUCACAAGCUAUUUACCUAUUUUGCCAUCGGACAAUUAAAAAGAAUACUUGUAUUGCAGUGAGAUUUUUAGUUUGCAUCAGUCAAAUCACACAUUACCAGUACCAGCUCUAAAUUCCGCAUAUUGCAGCAAUAACUUGUAAGACAUGUUAGAAAUAGGAGCACUGAAGUACACCCAUCUAAAUAAUAGAUCACCAUUGUUACAAUUCAAAUACAGUAAAUUUUGCACCAAAUAUAAUUUGCUUUCUAUAAGAUGCUACCUGAAAAACCCAAGCUCGUAUUUACAACCAAAUAAAGUAAAUGCCCACUCUAUUCCCAUUGUGUAUCAUUUAAUAGCUUAGUACCACCCUCCCAGAAUGUAAAGGUAAUUAGAAUAUUUUGGGAAUAUUAAGAUAUGCAAUCGAAUGGUACAGAGUCAUAUGUCAUUACACUUAGGAGUAAAAUACCUAACUUAUAUGCUUGAGAGAUUACCUUACGUUUCACGACAUUACCUAAUAUUUACACCGCUCAUCAGAACGGAUUCUUCUACAAGGAACAAGCAACCCAAUAAGUUCACGGCUAGCACACAUCACUUUCUCCUGUCAUUUGUUAGAUUAAUUAAAAUUUCAAACUUGCAGGCACAGUCAUAGGAUGUAAGAUAAAUUCUUCUAAACUGGAUAUGCAUAAAGUGAGCAUAAUAGAACCUGUUCUUCGCAACUGACCUGCUUCCACCAUGUGACAUUGUAGUCUCGAUCCUACUAUCUACAUCCCAUUGGAACAACUGCAAAGGGAGGAAAAACCAUUAGAAAACCUAUAACCAGAACCAAGCAAGAAUACUAAGUCCAGUCCAACUUUAUGCUGCAUUAGGGUGUGGACCUUCUACAACUUCGAGUGGUCUUUUUAUGAGCAUAUUAUCAGCUUUCAUGAGCAUGUUAUCAGCCUAGUUGUGCAAAAACAAAAUCGAGUGGUAUUACAUGAGGAUUACAAUUUAAAAAAGGUCUUUU